rnacentral:rRNA from 1 species
CCCUUAGAUGUUCUGGGCCGCACGCGUGCUACACUGAUGCAUUCAACGAGUCUAAAACCUGGUCUGAUAGGGCUGGGUAAUCUUUUGAAAGUGCAUCGUGAUUGGGAUAGAUGAUUGCAAUUCUUCAUCUUCAACGAGGAAUGCCUAGUAAACGCAAGUCAUCAGCUUGCAUUGAUUACGUCCCCGCCCUUUGUACACACCGCCCGUCGCUCCUACCGAUUGAAUGAUCCGAUGAAUACCAUGGAUUGAGAGUACGAAUAGGUUCGCUUAUUUCUGCUGCUCGAGAAGUGGAGUAAAUCUUAUCAUUUAGAGGAAGGAGAAGUCGUAACA